rnacentral:rRNA from 1 species
CCUACGGGCGGCUGCAGUGGGGAAUAUUGCACAAUGGGCGCAAGCCUGAUGCAGCCAUGCCGCGUGUGUGAAGAAGGCCUUCGGGUUGUAAAGCACUUUCAGCGGGGAGGAAGGCGUUAAGGUUAAUAACCUUGUCGAUUGACGUUACCCGCAGAAGAAGCACCGGCUAACUCCGUGCCAGCAGCCGCGGUAAUACGGAGGGUGCAAGCGUUAAUCGGAAUUACUGGGCGUAAAGCGCACGCAGGCGGUCUGUCAAGUCGGAUGUGAAAUCCCCGGGCUCAACCUGGGAACUGCAUUCGAAACUGGCAGGCUAGAGUCUUGUAGAGGGGGGUAGAAUUCCAGGUGUAGCGGUGAAAUGCGUAGAGAUCUGGAGGAAUACCGGUGGCGGAGGCGGCCCCCUGGACAAAGACUGACGCUCAGGUGCGAAAGCGUGGGGAGCAAACAGGAUUAGAUACCCGUGUAGUC